UGUGAGCUCGAUGAGUAGGGCGGGACACGUGGUAUCCUGUCUGAAUAUGGGGGGACCAUCCUCCAAGGCUAAAUACUCCUGACUGACCGAUAGUGAACCAGUACCGUGAGGGAAAGGCGAAAAGAACCCCGGCGAGGGGAGUGAAAAAGAACCUGAAACCGUGUACGUACAAGCAGUGGGAGCCUCUUAAUGGGGUGACUGCGUACCUUUUGUAUAAUGGGUCAGCGACUUAUAUUCUGUAGCAAGGUUAACCGAAUAGGGGAGCCGAAGGGAAACCGAGUCUUAACUGGGCGUUAAGUUGCAGGGUAUAGACCCGAAACCCGGUGAUCUAGCCAUGGGCAGGUUGAAGGUUGGGUAACACUAACUGGAGGACCGAACCGACUAAUGUUGAAAAAUUAGCGGAUGACUUGUGGCUGGGGGUGAAAGGCCAAUCAAACCGGGAGAUAGCUGGUUCUCCCCGAAAGCUAUUUAGGUAGCGCCUCGUGAAUUCAUCUCCGGGGGUAGAGCACUGUUUCGGCAAGGGGGUCAUCCCGACUUACCAACCCGAUGCAAACUGCGAAUACCGGAGAAUGUUAUCACGGGAGACACACGGCGGGUGCUAACGUCCGUCGUGAAGAGGGAAACAACCCAGACCGCCAGCUAAGGUCCCAAAGUCAUGGUUAAGUGGGAAACGAUGUGGGAAGGCCCAGACAGCCAGGAUGUUGGCUUAGAAGCAGCCAUCAUUUAAAGAAAGCGUAAUAGCUCACUGGUCGAGUCGGCCUGCGCGGAAGAUGUAACGGGGCUAAACCAUGCACCGAAGCUGCGGCAGCGACACUAUGUGUUGUUGGGUAGGGGAGCGUUCUGUAAGCCUGUGAAGGUGUGCUGUGAGGCAUGCUGGAGGUAUCAGAAGUGCGAAUGCUGACAUAAGUAACGAUAAAGCGGGUGAAAAGCCCGCUCGCCGGAAGACCAAGGGUUCCUGUCCAACGUUAAUCGGGGCAGGGUGAGUCGACCCCUAAGGCGAGGCCGAAAGGCGUAGUCGAUGGGAAACAGGUUAAUAUUCCUGUACUUGGUGUUACUGCGAAGGGGGGACGGAGAAGGCUAUGUUGGCCGGGCGACGGUUGUCCCGGUUUAAGCGUGUAGGCUGGUUUUCCAGGCAAAUCCGGAAAACCAAGGCUGAGGCGUGAUGACGAGGCACUACGGUGCUGAAGUGACAAAUGCCCUGCUUCCAGGAAAAGCCUCUAAGCAUCAGGUAACAUCAAAUCGUACCCCAAACCGACACAGGUGGUCAGGUAGAGAAUACCAAGGCGCUUGAGAGAACUCGGGUGAAGGAACUAGGCAAAAUGGUGCCGUAACUUCGGGAGAAGGCACGCUGAUAUGUAGGUGAAGCGACUUGCUCGUGGAGCUGAAAUCAGUCGAAGAUACCAGCUGGCUGCAACUGUUUAUUAAAAACACAGCACUGUGCAAACACGAAAGUGGACGUAUACGGUGUGACGCCUGCCCGGUGCCGGAAGGUUAAUUGAUGGGGUUAGCGGUAACGCGAAGCUCUUGAUCGAAGCCCCGGUAAACGGCGGCCGUAACUAUAACGGUCCUAAGGUAGCGAAAUUCCUUGUCGGGUAAGUUCCGACCUGCACGAAUGGCGUAAUGAUGGCCAGGCUGUCUCCACCCGAGACUCAGUGAAAUUGAACUCGCUGUGAAGAUGCAGUGUACCCGCGGCAAGACGGAAAGACCCCGUGAACCUUUACUAUAGCUUGACACUGAACAUUGAGCCUUGAUGUGUAGGAUAGGUGGGAGGCUUUGAAGUGUGGACGCCAGUCUGCAUGGAGCCGACCUUGAAAUACCACCCUUUAAUGUUUGAUGUUCUAACGUUGGCCCCUGAUCGGGGUUGCGGACAGUGUCUGGUGGGUAGUUUGACUGGGGCGGUCUCCUCCUAAAGAGUAACGGAGGAGCACGAAGGUUGGCUAAUCCUGGUCGGACAUCAGGAGGUUAGUGCAAUGGCAUAAGCCAGCUUGACUGCGAGCGUGACGGCGCGAGCAGGUGCGAAAGCAGGUCAUAGUGAUCCGGUGGUUCUGAAUGGAAGGGCCAUCGCUCAACGGAUAAAAGGUACUCCGGGGAUAACAGGCUGAUACCGCCCAAGAGUUCAUAUCGACGGCGGUGUUUGGCACCUCGAUGUCGGCUCAUCACAUCCUGGGGCUGAAGUAGGUCCCAAGGGUAUGGCUGUUCGCCAUUUAAAGUGGUACGCGAGCUGGGUUUAGAACGUCGUGAGACAGUUCGGUCCCUAUCUGCCGUGGGCGCUGGAGAACUGAGGGGGGCUGCUCCUAGUACGAGAGGACCGGAGUGGACGCAUCACUGGUGUUCGGGUUGUCAUGCCAAUGGCACUGCCCGGUAGCUAAAUGCGGAAGAGAUAAGUGCUGAAAGCAUCUAAGCACGAAACUUGCCCCGAGAUGAGUUCUCCCUGACUCCUUGAGAGUCCUGAAGGAACGUUGAAGACGACGACGUUGAUAGGCCGGGUGUGUAAGCGCAGCGAUGCGUUGAGCUAACCGGUACUAAUGAACCGUGAGGCUUAACCUUACAACGCCGAAG
rnacentral:rRNA from 1 species